UACGGAGGGUGCAAGCGUUGUUCGGAAUCAUUGGGCGUAAAGCGCGUGUAGGCGGCUUGGCAAGUCGGUUGUGAAAGCCCGGGGCCCAACCCCGGAAUUGCAUCUGAAACUGCCUCGCUAGAGUCCCGGAGAGGAAGGCAGAAUUCCCGGUGUAGGGGUGAAAUCCGUAGAUAUCGGGAGGAAUACCAGCGGCGAAGGCGGCCUUCUGGACGGUGACUGACGCUGAGGUGCGAAAGCGUGGGGAGCGAACAGG
rnacentral:rRNA from 1 species